AAACUUAACAAGCCGAAUCCUCACUUUCGAAGAGGAACGGAGGACCCAAUCUUGGGGUGAACCCGCGACAACACGUCAGCGGGCGGGAACCUUCUUCCCGAAUCCGUCAGCUAACUCCGCAGGCUUUUAGAAGGGAAGUG
rnacentral:sRNA from 1 species